rnacentral:rRNA from 1 species
UACGGAGGGGGCUAGCGUUGUUCGGAAUUACUGGGCGUAAAGCGCACGUAGGCGGCUUUGUAAGUUAGAGGUGAAAGCCCGGGGCUCAACUCCGGAACUGCCUUUAAGACUGCAUCGCUAGAAUUGUGGAGAGGUAAGUGGAAUUCCGAGUGUAGAGGUGAAAUUCGUAGAUAUUCGGAAGAACACCAGUGGCGAAGGCGACUUACUGGACACAUAUUGACGCUGAGGUGCGAAAGCGGGGGGAGCAAACAGG